AGGAAUACAUCGGAAUCUACUCUUUCGUGGGGGAUAACGUAGGGAAACUUACGCUAAUACCGCAUACGACCUACGGGUGAAAGCGGAGGACCUUCGGGCUUCGCGCGGUUGAAUGAGCCGAUGUCGGAUUAGCUAGUUGGCGGGGUAAAGGCCCACCAAGGCGACGAUCCGUAGCUGGUCUGAGAGGAUGAUCAGCCACACUGGAACUGAGACACGGUCCAGACUCCUACGGGAGGCAGCAGUGGGGAAUAUUGGACAAUGGGCGCAAGCCUGAUCCAGC
rnacentral:rRNA from 1 species